rnacentral:rRNA from 1 species
UAUCCAGUGCAUCCCUCCGGCGCCACUACCACCCGUCGCCCCGCCGCCUUCGCCGCCAGUGUCGAUCUUUGGCAUGCCCGUCUCGGUCAUCCCAACUCCACCGUUAUGCGUCAGAUUCUUCAAAGUUUUUCUUUCUCAUGUAAUAAAGUCGACGAUCACUCUUGCGAGGCUUGCCGUCUUGGCAAGCACGUUCGUCUUCCCUUUAGUGCGUCUACAAACAUUUCCACCUUUCCGUUUCAGUUGUUGCAUAGUGAUGUUUGGACGUCCCCGGUUGCUAGCAACACGGGCUAUUUAUACUAUCUGGUGAUAUUGGAUGAUUUUACUCAUUAUGUGUGGACCUUCCCUCUCCGUCGCAAGUCCGACACUCUUGCCACACUCACCGCUUUUUAUUCAUAUGUCACCACACAGUUCGGUCGUCCUAUUCUCGCCUUGCAAACUGACAACGGCAAGGAGUUUGACAACGUCGCCGUCCGCAAUUUACUUGCGUCCCACGGCACCAUCUUUCGCCUCACCUGCCCCUACACGUCUCAGCAGAAUGGUCGCGCCGAGCGCGUCCUUCGCACGCUUAAUGACUGUGUCCGCACGUUGCUCUUCCACUCCUACGUGCCUCCUCGGUUCUGGCCGGACGCGCUCGCGACCGCCAGCCUCCUCAUUAACAUUCGCCCUUGUCGUUCCCGCUGGAACUACACCCCUCACCAGCUCCUCUUCGGUGCGGUUCCAUCUUAUGAUGGUCUUCGCAUUUUCGGGUGUCUCUGUUAUCCUAGCACCGCAUCCACUGCUCCUCACAAACUCGCACCCCGGUCCCUUCCUUGCAUCUUCCUUGGCUAUCCUCCCAACACCAAAGGUUACUGGUGCUAUGAUCCAGUCUCCCACCGCGUUUUCACUUCGCGGCAUGUGUACUUU